GCAAGUCGAACGAACCUUUCGGGGUUAGUGGCGCACGGGUGCGUAACGCGUGGGAAUCUGCCUUUAGGUACGGAAUAACUCGGGGAAACUCGUGCUAAUACCGUAUGAUGUCUUCGGACCAAAGAUUUAUCGCCUAGAGAUGAGCCCGCGUUGGAUUAGCUAGUUGGUGAGGUAAGAGCUCACCAAGGCGACGAUCCAUAGCUGGUCUGAGAGGAUGAUC
rnacentral:rRNA from 1 species